rnacentral:rRNA from 1 species
UGAGGAAUAUUGGUCAAUGGGCGCGAGCCUGAACCAGCCAAGUCGCGUGAGGGAAGACGGUCCUAUGGAUUGUAAACCUCUUUUGUCGGGGAGCAAGAAAGGGUAUGCAUACCCUACUGAGAGUACCCGAAGAAAAAGCAUCGGCUAACUCCGUGCC